rnacentral:rRNA from 1 species
UACGGGAGGCAGCAGCGGGGAAUAUUGCACAAUGGGCGAAAGCCUGAUGCAGCUAUGCCGCGUGUAUGAAGAAGGCCUUAGGGUUGUAAAGUACUUUCAUCGGGGAGGAAAAAACAAAACUAAUAAUUUUAUUUCUUGACGUUACCCGAAAAAGAAGCACCGGCUAACUCCGUGCCAGCAGCCGCGGUAAUACGGAGGGUGCUAGCGUUAAUCAGAAUUACUGGGCGUAAAGAGCACGUAGGUGGUUUUUUAAGUCAGAUGUGAAAUCCCUGGGCUUAACCUAGGAACUGCAUUUUGAAACUGAAAUACUAGAGUAUCGUAGAGGGAGGUAGAAUUCUAGGUGUAGCGGUGAAAUGCGUAGAUAUCUGGAGGAAUACCUGUGGCGAAAGCGGCCUCCUAAACGAAUACUGACACUGAGGGUGCGAAAGCGUGGGGAGCAAACAGGGAUUAGAUACC